rnacentral:rRNA from 1 species
UACGGGGGGGGCGAGCGUUGUUCGGAAUCACUGGGCGUAAAGGGCGCGUAGGCGGCCCGCACAAGUCUGCGGUGAAAACCUCCGGCUUAACCGGGGGCCGGCCGUGGAAACUGUCGGGCUGGAGGCUGGGAGAGGGCAGCGGAAUUCCCGGUGUAGCGGUGAAAUGCGUAGAGAUCGGGAGGAACACCGGCGGCGAAGGCGGCUGCCUGGACCAGUCCUGACGGCUGAGGCGGCGAAAGCUAGGGGAGCAAACAGG